AACCGGAUUAGACACCCUGGUAGUCCACGCCCUAAACGAUGUCUACUAGUUGUCGGGUCUUAAUUGACUUGGUAACGCAGCUAACGCGUGAAGUAGACCGCCUGGGGAGUACGGUCGCAAGAUUAAAACUCAAAGGAAUUGACGGGGACCCGCACAAGCGGUGGAUGAUGUGGAUUAAUUCGAUGCAACGCGAAAAACCUUACCUACCCUUGACAUGUACAGAAUCCCGAAGAGAUUUGGGGGUGUUCGAAAGAAAACUGUAACACAGGUGCUGCAUGGCUGUCGUCAGCUCGUGUCGUGAGAUGUUGGGUUAAGUCCCGCAACGAGCGCAACCCUUGUCAUUAGUUGCUACGAAAGGGCACUCUAAUGAGACUGCCGGUGACAAACCGGAGGAAGGUGGGGAUGACGUCAAGUCCUCAUGGCCCUUAUGGGUAGGGCUUCACACGUCAUACAAUGGUACAUACAGAGGGCCGCCAACCCGCGAGGGGGAGCUAAUCCCAGAAAGUGUAUCGUAGUCCGGAUUGUAGUCUGCAACUCGACUACAUGAAGUUGGAAUCGCUAGUAAUCGCGGAUCAGCAUGUCGCGGUGAAUACGUUCCCGGGUCUUGUACACACCGCCCGUCACACCAUGGGAGCGGGUUUUACCAGAAGUAGGUAGCCUAACCGUAAGGAGGGCGCUUACCACGGUAGGAUUCGUGACUGGGGUGAAGUCGUAACAAGGUAGCCG
rnacentral:rRNA from 1 species